rnacentral:rRNA from 1 species
CGUGUAGGCGGCUUGGUAAGCGGUCUGUGAAAUCCCGGGGCUCAACCCCGGAACUGCAGACCGAACUGCCGAGCUAGAGAACGAGAGGGGACUGUGGAACUCUAGGUGGAGCGGUGAAAUGCGUAGAUAUCUAGAGGAACACCGGUGGCGAAAGCGACAGUCUGGCUCGUUUCUGACGCUGAGGCGAGAAAGCGUGGGUAGCAAACAGGAUUAGAUACCCUGGUAGUCC